rnacentral:lncRNA from 1 species
UUCUGUGGUGCCUGUUUCAGCUUCCUGAUCUGUAGGCUGACACUGCAAUGGGGCACAGGCUGUGGGGUAGGCAUGAUGCCUGUCUCCAGCACAGCCCCGUCCAUCCUGAAGUGGGACGGUCCUGGUCCAUGCCUACGGAAUGAAUUACACACCUGACGGUGGCUCUACAUGGAAGAGUGCCAGUCAUGAUGUUUGGAUCUUCAGGUCUGUUCUGGGGUCCACUCGUGGCUACUCUCCAGCUUCGGGGACUCCUGCGACUGAGUUUUCUCACUAGAGGCACCCCAGACUCCGUGGAGCGGGGCAGCUAAAGUUUCCCCCAAGGCUACCCCCAGGAAAAGCAUCGGACAUGUUGUGGCUUUGGGAUAUGAAUGGCUCAUGCGGGCCAUGCUUCUCUCUGACUCAUGGCUUUGAGAAACAUAUCUGGUCACCUCUGAGGAUAGAAAAAUCCAAAUGUAAUGGAUGAGUCUGAGAAACAAAACAAACAGAAAGAGCAUGAAGUUGAAGGCGAGCCACCUGUCUUGACAUGGGGCGAGGGGAUAUUCCUCUGCUCUUUGGGGACACCUUCAGCUCCCACAUUCACAGGGCCAUAAAGCCUGAAGCACUGUCCUCUCUGAAGUCAUCUUGGAGGAAUGCAACUUAGUAUCACUCAUGUGACCACAUGUCAUGGGAUCUGGAAGAGAGAAGAGACAGACCCGUGUGCUGGGAGACAUGGGGGAAGGCUUGGGGGGCUUCGACUUUAAUCUGGUCGUCUGUGGUGGAGACAGAAAGGGAUUCUGGCUGAUGCCACCUGUUCCUCUGGUUCUCUCUUUGGUGCUGUUGCUACCUACUGUGCACAGAGGACACUGUGCCUACCUACUGUGCACAGAAGACACUUGCUAUCUAUUGUGUGCAGAGGACAUGUUGCCACCUACUGUGCGCAUAGGACACUGUGCUACCUACUGUGCAUAGAGGACACUAUGCUAUCUACUGUGCUCAGAGGACACUGUUGCCACCUACUGUGUGCAGAGGUCACUGUUGCCACCUACAGUGCGCAGAGGAUGCUGUGGCUACCUACUGUGUACAGAGGACACUAUUGCUACCUACUGUGUGCAGAGGACACUGUUGCUAUGGACUGUGCAGAGGACACUGUGGCUACCUACUAUGUGCUGAGCCAUGCUUAGAAUCUGCAUUUUUUUUUGUUUGUUUUUGUUUUGGCUCCUGUGUCACACUUCAGCACGAAGCACAGAGAUUCACGUGUGAGGGACGCAGCACACAUGUGACAGAUGGCAAAUGUCCCAGGGACCUUCCUUCUGUCCCACAGAGAGGUGCAACCCUCC